rnacentral:rRNA from 1 species
UACGUAGGGUGCAAGCGUUGUCCGGAAUUAUUGGGCGUAAAGAGCUCGUAGGCGGUUUGUCGCGUCUGCUGUGAAAACUCGGGGCUUAACUCCGGGCCUGCAGUGGGUACGGGCAGACUAGAGUGCGGUAGGGGGAGACUGGAAUUCCUGGUGUAGCGGUGAAAUGCGCAGAUAUCAGGAGGAACACCGGUGGCGAAGGCGGGUCUCUGGGCCGUAACUGACGCUGAGGAGCGAAAAGCGUGGGGGAGCGAACAGG